GGGUUCGUGGUCUAGCCGGUUAUGACGCGGCCCUUACAAGGCCGAGGUCGGCGGUUCGAAACCGCCCGAACCCA
rnacentral:tRNA from 2 species